ensembl:snRNA U6 U6 spliceosomal RNA
GUGCUCACUUCAGCAGCACACAUACUAAAAUUAGAGCAGUACAGAGAUUAGCAUGGCCUCUGCAAGAAUGACAUGCAAAUUCAUGAAACUUUCCAUGUUUUU